rfam:Angiostrongylus cantonensis strain Taiwan genome assembly, scaffold: ACAC_scaffold0001632
GAUCAGGUGGCCGAGCGGUUAAGGCGAUGGACUGCUAAUCCAUUGUGGUUUUCCCGUGUUAGUGCGUAUCUUAUCCUGAUCG